GCCAAAAUAGCUCAGAUGGGAGAGCAUUAGACUGAAGAUCUAAAUGUCCCUGUUUGAUCCCGCGGUUUUGGCA
rnacentral:tRNA from 1 species